rnacentral:rRNA from 1 species
AUGAUGACAAAGAGAAGAAGUGAGAGCACAGAUGAUUCGCCAAUGGUGUGCAAGAGUUUGUUUCUCCCGUUGCAACGCACGGGCAUUUGUACUAGUUUGAUUAAUGCAAAUUUUGUGGAACCGGAUGUGAGUGUAAUAUGCAGGAUUCCUAUUAGUAAUUCAGCUGAGGAUAUUUGGGCUUGGCAACCAGAAAAACAUGGUCAUUUAACUGUGAAAUCGGCAUAUAGAGUUCUUGUCUCUAAAAGUCGUCAAUCUGACCAGCCCGGGUCUAGCAUCAAUCAGGAAAAGGUAUGGAAGAAAAUGUGGAAACUUGAGGUCCCUCCCAAGGUGAAGAAUUUCUGGUGGCGUAUUAUCCAUGACUUUAUACCCUGCCGUGCCGUUUUGAAGCGACGACACAUGGAGCGUAUUGAUUUCUGUGACACUUGUGGUCAACAGGAAACUACAAUGCACGCUAUCUUUGAUUGCACUUGGGCAAGGAUCUUCUGGGAGCAGGUGAAGUCCCUAACUGGCAUAAAAAUUCCUGACCUACACCCACACUCCUGGAUGUUCGAUGUGGUGGAUGGUACAAAGAUACCCCAGUCUGAAGCUUGUAUAAUUUUAAGUGGAGCGUGGGCGAUCUGGACUGAACGAAAUGCAAGAAAGCAUGGAGAGUCUGGGCGCUCUAUCAUGCAAUCAGUAAGAUGGGUGAUAGACUCGGUAAUGAACUUAACAAGUGCUGGAAUAGUAAGCAAGCCGAAGCAAUCAAAACAAAUAGAAUGGAAUCCACCUGAUGAAGGCGUGAUGAAGAUUAAUGUAGAUGCAUCCUUUGAUGAUAUUUCCUGUCAAGGUUCGACUGGGCUGGUUAUUCGGGAUAGGGAGGGUGCAUUACUUCGUGCACAAGCCCUUUGGUAUAAUUUUGCAGCUAGCUCACAGUCCAUGGAAGCAGAAGCAAUUCGAGAUGGGGUUCGAAUGGCUACUGAGAGAGGUUUCAGCAAAGUUGAGGUGGAAACUGAUGCUCAAGCUAUUGUUAAGUUGUGGGAGACAGAUACCUUCGAUCGUUCGGAGAUAGCUGGCAUUCUUCAAGAGACCAGGGAGCUUUCUGAUCAAUUUGAGAGUUUUAGGCUGAAAUUCGUACGUAGAGAAGCUAAUGAAGCGGCUCACUUAUGUGCGAAGCAGGCGACAAGUGUUAGGAGGAGACGUUUAUGGCUUAAUUACACUCCUGUUUUCCUAAUGAACACGUUGUAUCGUGACUGUAUGCCUGCUUAA